rnacentral:lncRNA from 7 species
CCGGCCACCCCGACCCAACCGCCCACCGGAUCUCUAGCCUCUGCGAUAUAAAGACUUCCAUCUCCCACCCAUCCGGUGAGUUUGCCCCAUCCUCUUACUGUUGGCUUUGUAUUUGGUUUCAAACCAUAUGUUGGUUGUUCUUCAAGGAUUUGUUCCGGGAUUCAGUGCGAUCGUUGGAUUGGUCGAACGCUUCGCCAGGUACUGUUCAGACUUCAGACCGUCGCCAGGUAAG